GGAACACACAAGCGAGCACCGUAGCUGAUGAGAUGUGUAACGGAGAAGAGUCAAAUCACGACUGGGGGAAUCAUAUAAGUAAAAUCAAGGCCAUCGAGCUCAUCACUCGUCUCCUCGUGCGGAUGCGCAAGCCAACCGCCAUAGGAAGACCGCGAAGCCGUGAGAACCCGGCACUCGCUCGGCUUGCUAAACAACAAUGUGCGAGAGCCAAACAGUCGCAGCCUCUGUCCUUCACAGACGACGAACCUGUAUCGCGCACGUGAAACUAAACAAGAGAUCAUCUUCUGAGUUCCGGCAGAUUCAAGCGCACCAUUCGGCGGUCACGGCGCAGGUUAACACUAGCGCAUCUGCUAUACCCGUAAGGCACCAAGAAACGAUUGCCCGGGGCCAUCGCCAACGUCGGAUACACACAGCAACCUGUCUCUCAUGUUUACCCGCCAAUACCAUACCUCGCUCUCACCAUCUCUAUACCAUGCCACCAGCAGGCCCGCCAAACCCGAUUUUUGUAACGAAAGCAUCUCUGAAGCCAUUGGAACGUAGUCACUGGACAUUCGGAUUGUUCAACUAAUCUGCACCGAUGAAGAAAACGAUAGUCGUGUGCGAUGGAGCCUGGACACCACCGGAGCGGCUACUUGUCGCCUCCUCGCAAUGAAGCAGUAUGCGCUACGCCAACAUUUCAACUCUCCGCCACUAUCCUAGUUACCGGUGUCAUCCCAGAAUACUUUGGUGACUGUUGGCGAUUCCUCGAUAGCGUAUUGGCGUGUUUUCUGCUCCGUCGACAGCGAGUACCGCGAAUGAUGCUUCACGAGUCCCUUUCACGCAGAUAUUGUGGCUGCGAACGAAAGCUUCCUCUUCACUUCGGAUCGACGCUACGGAUCCAAGCCUUUUUCCAUUUUGAUGUCUGCUUAUUUUUGUGGGUCAAAUUGACUUUCAAGUUGGCGCGAUUAGUUAUUGAAUGGUGAUUACGGUUGGCUUGCGCCUACCAGGCCCAGAUGACUGUGGUCAGCUCCUGGAAAGGCAGCUUCUGCUUUUCUCUCCCGAACGGGAGAGAUAUGGUUCCUCCAAUAUACCUACAGUCAGAAACGGGCAUUAGGACUUCAGCUUUGCGACGCUCGUGAAUGAUCGUACGUCAAGAUGCACGAGAAGAAAGUGCGUUUAUCAGCGAAAAGCUAUGUUCAUGUUUAUCGACAUUCGCCACCUUACCAAACAGGACGCAAUGAUUUAACGCAAUCACGAAAUCGUGAUACUGCACACGACUGGUUCCCUCAAUUAUUUACAAAAAUAUUUGAAAUAUUUUGCCACUUAUCUCAACUAGCACGACGACCUCGAGCGAGUGUGAGAAAUCACAAAGGGUCAAACUAAUGUUGACUCCCACAAUACAUUAGGCUACUGUAGCGACAAACGCAUUUCAUUUAAAAUCAUCUUACAUCACCAAGUUUUUGCUGUAAAAAAAUCCAGGGUUCGUCCCAAAACAAGCAGGUUUACGAUUCGAGCACCAGUAUAAAGAUAAUGCAUUAUAGUCCAAUGGAGCGUCAAUCAAAGAGCCUUCUCACCAUCACUCUCCAUCACCGUCAACUUUAUCCCAAACUUUUGCAGAAGGGUGCUUUUUAUAACCUACCACCAAGUACUUAACGAAAGUAGACCACUUCCGGUGCAUAUCAAAUCGGCUGGUUUCAAGUUGAAAUUGUCACUUGAAAUUUCUUGGGUCAUAAUUUAAUAGUAAGUUUUGUUGCUUUCUAUUUUAGGUAGUGCCAAAAACUAAUUAGCUGAAAAACUCUUUUAAGCGGCAAAAUCACAGCCAGAUGUCUACAGCAA